rfam:Gossypium hirsutum cultivar TM-1 chromosome 20, whole genome shotgun sequence
UGUUAAAAGUUUCAUCUAUUUGUACCAUUAAAAACUGGCACGCCUGACGGAAUAACUAGACACUGACAUGUGAAGUGCCAAGUGUACAUCAUGCUGACGUACAAAAACCAAUUUUUAACAGUAGAAAUAGAUGAAAUUUUUUAUA